GAUGAACGCUAGCUACAGGCUUAACACAUGCAAGUCGAGGGCCCGGCGCACGGGUGAGUACCACGUAUCCAACCUGCCUUUUACUCGGGGAUAGCCUUUCGAAAGAAAGAUUAAUACCCGAUGUAAAGGAUGGGGAUGCGUUCCAUUAGGUUGUUGGUGAGGUAACGGCUAACCAAGCCUUCGAUGGUUAGGGGUUCUGAGAGGAAGGUCCACCACAUGUGAACUGAGACACGGUCCAAAAUCCUACGGGAGGAAGCAGUGAGGAAUAUUGGGCAAGGGGCGUUAGCCUGAAACAGCCAAGUAGCGUGAAGGAUGAAGGCUUAGGAGUCGUAAACUUCUUUUAUAUAAGAAUAUUUAUUAUAUGAAGAAGGAUCGGCUAACUCCGUGCCAGCAGCCGCGGUAAUAC
rnacentral:rRNA from 1 species